UACGUAGGGGGCAAGCGUUGUCCGGAUUUAUUGGGCGUAAAGAGCGUGUAGGCGGCUAGAUAGGUCCGUUGUGAAAACUCGAGGCUCAACCUCGAGACGCCGGUGGAAACCAUCUAGCUAGAGUCCGGAAGAGGAGAGUGGAAUUCCUGGUGUAGCGGUGAAAUGCGCAGAUAUCGGGAAGAACACCCGUGGCGAAGGCGGCUCUCUGGGACGGUACUGACGCUGAGACGCGAAAGCGUGGGGAGCGAACAGG
rnacentral:rRNA from 1 species